rnacentral:rRNA from 1 species
CCUACGGGUGGCAGCAGUGAGGAAUAUUGGUCAAUGGACGAGAGUCUGAACCAGCCAAGUAGCGUGAAGGAUGACUGCCCUAUGGGUUGUAAACUUCUUUUAUAAAGGAAUAAAACGAGGCACGUGUGCCUUUUUGCAUGUACUUUAUGAAUAAGGAUCGGCUAACUCCGUGCCAGCGGCCGCGGUAAUACGGAGGAUCCGAGCGUUAUACGGAUUUAUUGGGUUUAAAGGGAUGGUAGAUGGGUUUUUAAGUCCGUUGUGAAAGUUUUGGGCUUAACCGUAAAAUUGCAAUUGAUACUGGGAGUCUUGAGUACAGUUGAGGUAGGCGGAAUUCGUGGUGUAGCGGUGAAAUGCUUAGAUAUCACGAAGAACCCCGAUUGCGAAGGCAGCUUACUAAACUGUGACUGACAUUGAUGCUCGAAAGUGUGGGUAUCAAACAGGAUUAGAUACCCCAGUAGUC